AAGCCAAAAUAAGUAGAACUGUGGAGCGAUACACACUAAAUAAGCCUACGGGGCUGCCAUUUGGAGAAGAGCACACCACUUCCUGAGAGUAUGUGAGCAUUCAAUGAGGAAGAAAGAGGAAAACCAACGAUGCUCCUUUAUCCUUUGGUGGUUCACAUCAUUUCCUCAGUGAUCAUCGUUCUGUUCCCCUUCAGUUUUAGAUCUGUUUGGUCAGCCACCGUCCAAAAAUAUUCAUUGGAAAGUUCCAGAAAUAAAUAGACCGUACGUUUUGAAUUGCAGCGGCCUGCCCUGUCGUUCUAAAGAUGUGAACGCUCCCCUGUUCUGAGUCAUACGCGCUGGCUUAUUUGGAUAUUGGACACUCAACUACUGGAUGGAAAGAUUUCAUCAUCAGUGAAAUAAAUGGUCUUUGACCAAGUCAAAAUGUCUAACAAUUAAUGGGAAAAUCUGCUUGAAAUCUGUCAUGUGAGUUCAAUUUUAAAUUGCCACUUUCUGAAAAAGCCUGCAUCUGAAAGCUAAAGAUUCCGGCUACACAGGGGAAAAUGAUGUUAUUUAAAAUUCAGUUGCCAGUCAAAACGCUAAGUACUCUGCACUAUUAUUCUGGUACUGACAUGCAAGCCGUGUAAUCACCUGCCUCGUUGUUAGGCGCAACAUAGCUACACACGCGUGGUUGCUUUGCUCUCAACUCGCUGGGUCAUCAUAAGCUGUUAUCAGAGGAUUCGUGAAAGAACUGAGUGCAGAAUGGACGCAUCACCUAAGGAGCAAAAGAAGAGAAAUGCGUUUCCACACGACAUGAAGACUCUCUUGCUUUGUGUGGUACACAGAACACACUUGCUUAGAAAAGCAGGUUCUUUCAGUUUGCCCGAGCUCAAAACGAUUUUAAUAUGUAAAAUGCUAUCAGAGCUCGAAUCCAUUCUCUGACCUGAAUGUCACAAUACCCUACUGUUUAUCUCAGCUAAAAGCCUGAGAAAGAUGGAAAGGAUUAGACUAUUUUCCAUACAUUGUAGUAAAUUUCUCUUGCAAAGAAUAUGAAAGACAAGUCCUGACCUUCUUUGACAUAAAAAUAAAAAAGAUUCAUGCCACCAGCUAAGAUGAAAACAUUGAGUAGCUCAACAUUUGGAAGAAGAGAAUCAAGUAGAACAAUAUUUUCUGUGGGUGAGAAAAGUGGCUCCUAGCCCGUGGGAGUGUCAUUUUUCCAUAGCUUGCUUGACUUGCUGAACUUCUUUAUGGGUAAAAAAUAUUGUGAACAGUAACCUCUCAUCUGUUUUGGUUUUGUUUGCUUGUUUCAUACAAACUAGUGGACUAUUUCAUGUGUUUACAUUUCAUUUGUCAACAAAUAUUAACUGAA